CCGUGAUCACAGCUGAGCCGAUGGGUCUUCUCUCUCUACUUCUGCGGGAUCGUGGGUGAUCAUCUCCUGUGCUCAGAUACUUGGUCUCGGCUGUGGUGUUCGGCAGAAAUCAGUGAUUUUUCAACACAUUGGAAGGUGCCCACAACUGGUACUAGUGUGUUUUUUGUCACUUCCAAACACCUGUGGUCAGUCCUUUGCUUUUCCAGACAAGAGUGAGCUUAGGAAUGCUUCAUUUCAUUCUAGGUCAGGCUGCCUGCAGAUACAGACCCUUUCCUCUGCUGCCUUGUCACCAGUUACGUGAAAUGCCGCCUAUGACAAGAGUUUAUUAUUACGGCACUCUAGUCAACAUCCAUGCGAACGUAUGCACCGGCCCCCACGCAGAAGAAGAUUGCAUUGAGCCAGUAGAGAGCAGAGAUUCCAUUGGUGACGGUGAGAAUCGUCCUGCACAGUGACCUCCUCUCUCUUGUCUCCCUCACACCAGCCAUGGCAGUUUUCAAAGAUCGGUGCAGGUUAAUGUCUUUAUUUUUCUUUAUGUUUUGUAUUUUUUAUGAUUUUGUAUUAUAUUACAGCAUUGUAAUGAUUUUUACAUGAAUGAUGGGCUGUGAGGCCAACCCUCUGAGGUUGAGGCAGGAUCCUGCCUCUCUGUUAGCAUCACGUUAAUACAGCGCCACCCUCAGACGGGUCUCUGCCCCUUUCUUACGGGGAAGCUCACUUUGAUAUGCAAGUGCUUUGGAUUACAGGCGUGAUCGCGGAAGAAAUUAUGCUCACAAAGCAAGGUUUUCCUGUAACCACUGGACUGCCGGCCACCAGCUGGGCAAGGAAGAGACAGAGCUCCGGGGUGCACCAAGGAUGCACACGCCACUUGUUGGAGAUCACGCAGUCCCUGUUGAGGGUCCUGGCAAGGCAAGGCCUGGCUCCUCUCUGGUCCUCUGAGGGCCACCUGCCCCGGCAAGGGUGCCUCUGUGGCAAUCACGGGAUUAGGGAGGCAGACAAAACGUGAUGGAGACAGAAUGUAACAAUGCCAGAAAGGAAGCACAAGGGUGCCCAGAGGGCACUCAGCAGAAAGCCUGGCAUCAGAAAGGCUGUGAUUAUUCCCGGCAUGUGGGAAUUACAGACCAGUUUCUGUGGGACUCCAGAGGAGUUCCCUAGAGGUAGGUGAACAGAGAAGGACAGGCUCCUCCUUACUCCAGGCUCUCUGUGAUAGUCCUGUUUUGAUUUUGUUUCACUGAGUUUCUCUCCAGCUUCUGGGGAACAGGGUGUCAAAGUGAAAGCCUUUGUCCUAGGAAGGUGUAGCUAAGCUGGAGGGUGAGAUCAGGGAU
rnacentral:lncRNA from 1 species